rnacentral:rRNA from 1 species
GACGAACCGUGCGAACGUUAUUCGGAAUCACUGGGCUUAAAGAGCGCGCAGGCGGUCGUUCAAGUCGAGUGUGAAAGCCCCCGGCUCAACUGGGGAGGGUCAUUCGAUACUGAUCGACUUGAAGGCAGGAGAGGGAAGCGGAAUUCCCGGUGUAGUGGUGAAAUGCGUAGAUAUCGGGAGGAACACCAGAGGUGAAGACGGGUUGCUGGGCUGACACUGACGCUGAGGCGCGAAAGCCAGGGGAGCAAACGGG